rnacentral:lncRNA from 1 species
AGAAAGCUUAGAACUUGGAGGGGAUUAGAGUAUCAAAUUCAUAAUUUUACAUUGUUGCUAGGAUAACCAGGUGAGUGAGACAACUAUCUCAAUAACGGAUAUAUGCUUGAGGGGUAGAAUUGAGGAGCCCUUAACCUCCAAUAAGGCUUUGAGAUUUUACAUAAUUAUGUUAUUUGUAAUUGAUUUACUGUAUGUGAUGAUAAUUAGUGAUGAAAUUUGUGUGCUAUGAUGUAUGAUAAAUUUUGUUUUGAUAAGUUAAC